CAAAUUAAAUCUUAUUAGUUAAGAGUUUUAUUUACAAUAAAAUUUAAAUUGUGCAAAUCAAUUUAAUUUGA
rnacentral:tRNA from 1 species